GACGUAGGGCGCAAGCGUUGUCCGGAUUUAUUGGGCGUAAAGAGCUCGUAGGCGGUUGUCGCGUCUGCCGUGAAAGUCCCGGGCUGACUACCGUCGAUGCGGUGGGUACGGGCAGACUAGAGUGAUGUAGGGGAGACUGGAAUUCCUGGUGUAGCGGUGAAAUGCGCAGAUAUCAGGAGGAACACCGAUGGCGAAGGCAGGAUCUCUGG
rnacentral:rRNA from 1 species